AAUAUUAGAAGAAAGCUUGUUGACAAGUAUCAAACUUGAGAGACUAGAUUCACAGGUUCCAAUUUAUUACAUUUGUCAUUAACUUUAUUUUUUGUACUUGCUUAUCUAAAAGACUCACAACUUCCACAAAGUAUUUCCUUUCCUCAACCUUUGAAGCCAGCAUAACUUGGCUUGCUCUUGCCACAUUUGUAGCUGCUGCUGCUACUAGUGUAUUAAUGCAUUUGGGCUGUUAUAUUUAAAUGCAAGUGGAUUGUUUGUGAGCUUGCUCCUAUGAUCAUGUUAACACACAAAAUGGUGGUGUUUUCCUUGUUAGGUACGUGGCCUGUUAUGCUAUCAGGACUGAGUUGUGUCAUGUGAUGCUAAGUGGAAUUUAUGCCAUGUAUCUUAGGAAUGUCAUGUAAUGGAUUUUUUUUCAUUGCAGAAAGCAAGUUGCAACAGUUCUGAACCGUUGGUCUCGUGGCAAGUUGUCGGGUGCUUCCAAGAGCUAGUGAGGAUGAAGAAGUUCCCGUCGUGAUUAGCGAGAUUGCAGGUAGCGUAUAGGAUGGUUAUGUUCAGCAUUGCAGAAACCUUUGUUAAAUUCAUUCAUCAGAAAGAUGCUUGCAUUGCCAUGUAUAUGAUAAAAGAAAUGUAUUUUAUGGGAGCUCCAGUCUACACAGUUCGCGAUAACUUUAUAAGCAAUAUAUAUAGCUUUCAU